rnacentral:rRNA from 1 species
GACGAACGCUGGCGGCGUGCCUAAUACAUGCAAGUAGAACGCUGAAACUUGGUGCUUGCACCGAGCGGAUGAGUUGCGAACGGGUGAGUAACGCGUAGGUAACCUGCCUGGUAGCGGGGGAUAACUAUUGGAAACGAUAGCUAAUACCGCAUAAGAGUAGAUGUUGCAUGACAUUUGCUUAAAAGGUGCAAUUGCACCACUACCAGAUGGACCUGCGUUGUAUUAGCUAGUUGGUGGGGUAACGGCUCACCAAGGCGACGAUACAUAGCCGACCUGAGAGGGUGAUCGGCCACACUGGGACUGAGACACGGCCCAGACUCCUACGGGAGGCAGCAGUAGGGAAUCUUCGGCAAUGGACGGAAGUCUGACCGAGCAACGCCGCGUGAGUGAAGAAGGGUUUCGGAUCGUAAAGCUCGGUUGUAAGAGAAGAACGAGUGUGAGAGUGGAAAGUUCACACUGUGACGGUAUCUUACCAGAAAGGGACGGCUAACUACGUG